UACAGAGGGGGCAAGCGUUGUUCGGAAUUACUGGGCGUAAAGGGCGCGUAGGCGGCCUGCUAAGUCGAACGUGAAAUCCCUGGGCUCAACCCAGGAACUGCGUCCGAUACUGGUUGGCUUGAAUCCGGGAGAGGGAUGCGGAAUUCCAGGUGUAGCGGUGAAAUGCGUAGAUAUCUGGAGGAACACCGGUGGCGAAGGCGGCAUCCUGGACCGAUACUGACGCUGAGGAGCGAAAGCCAGGGGAGCAAACAGG
rnacentral:rRNA from 1 species